CCAUGCUUCUAUUUAACUACGCUUCAGAAAAUCAAAAUAAAAACCAAAUGCUUCGUGAAGAAGGGUUCGUGAUAGAUAGGGACGAAACGAAACGAAACCAUGCUUCCUCAACAUUUUGGGGUUUCCGAUUCACCAUUACCAGCUAAACCGCGUGUUAUGAACGCUGAAAAGAUAAAAAAAGUCUGUCUAAUGUGUGGUGAUAAAGGAGUUACAAAGCGCCUGGUAUACUGUAUCCAGUGUAAAGCAUGUGCCCAACAUAGUUAUUGUAUAGAGAAGAUCCACCGGGACGAUGAUGGGAAAAUAGUCUGGAGAUGCAUAGACUGUGCUCCAAGUAACCCAAAAUGCAAACCUGAAUUGUUUAGAAAAAGCGAACGAAUAAGUCAUGCAACUGAAGCUAAAUAUAAAAGGAUCGUAAUGAAAAAGAAGAGUGGCGCAGUUGGAAAACAAUCACUUAUCAGAUCAAAUGGAGGUGAAGGUAUUGGAUGCCAUGCUAAAAAUGAUGCUGAGAAGAUUUUGCCAAUCCUUCAGAAUGAAGAUGUUCUUUGUACUCAGCCGGCAUCACACAAAGCCAAAGAUCCUUUGAAUAUGUCAUCUGUCAGAUCAAAAGAAGGUGCAAGUGUUGGAUGCCAUGCUAAAAAUGAUGCUGAGAAGAUUUUGCCAAUCCUUAAGAAUGAAGAUGUUCUUUGUACUCAGCCAGCAUCACACAGAGCCAAAGAUCCUUUGUAUAUGUCAUCUGUCAGAUCAAAAGAAGGUGUAAGUGUAGGAUGCCAUGCUAAAAACGACGCUGAGAAGAUUUUGCCAGUCCUUGAGAAUGAAAAUGGUCUUUGUAAUCAGCCUGAAUCACCCCAAGCCAAAGAUCCUUUGAAUAUGUCAUCUGAAUAUAAAAGGAUGAUAAUGAAAAAGAAGAGUGGCUCAGAUAAAAAACAAUCACUUGUCGGAUUAAAUGAAGGUGAAAGUGUUGGAUGCCAUGCUAAAAAUGACGCUGAGAAGAUUUUGCCAGUCCUUAAGAAUGAAGAUGUUCUUUGUAAUCACCCUGAAUCACCUGAAGCCAAAGAUCCUUCGAAUAUUUCAUGUGACAAACAAGCAAUGAAGUCUGAUAUAUAUCUGGAGCCUGAAGCCAUAAAUAUAAAGCCUCAGCUCUUGCAUUAUCCAGAGUUUGAUAAAUAUAGCCGUGCUCAGCCACUUAGUGAUCCAAUUUGGGGGGGGCAAUUUAGAUUGAACAAUGCAACAUAUUUUCAUAUUGUUGCUUAUUUGUCAAGCAAAGCUUACUCAAAAGUGAAAUCCGCGGCUACAGAGCUCCCCGAACUGCUUGAUGUAGAGUUGUUAUCUAGACAUGUUAUUUGGCCUCAGAGUUUUGUCACCCAUCCACCUGAUAGUGAUUGUAUUGGUCUUUAUUUUUUUCCUCAAUAUGAAAGGGAUGAGAUGAUCUUUGAUUCUGUGCUGAACAAUGCGAUCGAAAAGGAUAAUGCUCUCAAAGCAGUCAUCAACAACUACCUGGAACUCUUCAUUUAUUCCUCGCAUCUGUUGCCUCCCGAUGAUAGACGAAUCUGCAAAAAACAUUACUUGUGGGGUGCUUUCAAACCAAAACCAAGGAACUAGUAGUCAACUUCUAAUAUGCCGCAUUAACUCUCAAUAUGGGAUCUCAGACCAGACCAAUGGAAACAAAAUUCUCAAUGUUGUAGAGGUAAUGUCCCUUUUAUUUGCUCUUCUGAAGAAAACGAGCGAAAAAGCCAGAAAAAUCGUGAUUUCCAGUCGUUUUGCACACAUGGCGUCCAGCUCAGCGCCGACUGAAGGGAGCGUGGUGACAUGUCCCAUCUCGUCAAGGAGGUUAACUGCCACGUUCCCAUGUUCUCCAUGUUGGCCUGCUCCGCGGCCGCGAACCCCCCUCCACGAGCGCAGUCUGUGUAAAAAGUUUCCUGCUCAGAAGGAGUUGAGGGGAAUUCUCGUCUUUGCGCAUCUUCAAGAACCUUUAUAUAUAGUUUUGUUUCUCAUUUUCUUCAAACCAUCCAAGCUUAGUUACUACUUAAGCCAUAUACCAUCAGUAUCUGUAAUGUGAUAAUUCCUUCACAUCGAAGAGUUAUCACGGUGUAGAUUGAGUCUGUAAUCGGGUUUGGAGCACUUUCGUUGAAGUUCAUCAUACCGCUAUUUACAUUUCCUCGCCAUUUACCUUCUAAUUGUACCAGAUUUAAAGACUCUGAUUGGAACAGGUUUUUAUUUACACGCUUAUUUAAUCG